UACAGAGGUCCCAAGCGUUGUUCGGAUUCACUGGGCGUAAAGGGUGCGUAGGCGGUCGGGUAAGUCUGAUGUGAAAUCUCACAGCUUAACUGUGAAACUGCAUUGGAUACUAUUCGGCUUGAGAGUUGGAGGGGGGACUGGAAUUCUUGGUGUAGCAGUGAAAUGCGUAGAUAUCAGGAGGAACACCGGUGGCGAAGGCGGGUCUCUGGGCAGUAACUGACGCUGAGGAGCGAAAGCGUGGGGGAGCGAACAGG
rnacentral:rRNA from 1 species